rnacentral:rRNA from 1 species
CAGCAGUGGGGAAUAUUGCACAAUGGGGGAAACCCUGAUGCAGCGACGCCGCGUGGAGGAAGAAGGUCUUCGGAUUGUAAACUCCUGUUGUUGAGGAAGAUAAUGACGGUACUCAACAAGGAAGUGACGGCUAACUACGUGCCAGCAGCCGCGGUAAAACGUAGGUCACAAGCGUUGUCCGGAAUUACUGGGUGUAAAGGGAGCGCAGGCGGGAGAACAAGUUGGAAGUGAAAUCCAUGGGCUCAACCCAUGAACUGCUUUCAAAACUGUUUUUCUUGAGUAGUGCAGAGGUAGGCGGAAUUCCCGGUGUAGCGGUGGAAUGCGUAGAUAUCGGGAGGAACACCAGUGGCGAAGGCGGCCUACUGGGCACCAACUGACGCUGAGGCUCGAAAGUGUGGGUAGCAAACAGGAUUAGAUACCCUGGUAGUCCACACCGUAAACGAUGAUUACUAGGUGUUGGAGGAUUGACCCCUUCAGUGCCGCAGUUAACACAAUAAGUAAUCCACCUGGGGAGUACGACCGCAAGGUUGAAACUCAAAGGAAUUGACGGGGGCCCGCACAAGCGGUGGAGCAUGUGGUUUAAUUCGAAGCAACGCGAAGAACCUUACCUGGUCUUGACAUCCUUCUGACCGCUCUUUAAUCGGAGCUUUCCUUCGGGACAGAGGAGACAGGUGGUGCAUGGUUGUCGUCAGCUCGUGUCGUGAGAUGUUGGGUUAAGUCCCGCAACGAGCGCAACCCUUAUGGUCAGUUACUACGCAAGAGGACUCUGGCCAGACUGCCGUUGACAAAACGGAGGAAGGUGGGGAUGACGUCAAAUCAUCAUGCCCUUUAUGACUUGGGCUACACACGUACUACAAUGGCGUUAAACAAAGAGAAGCAAGACCGCGAGGUGGAGCAAAACUCAGAAACAACGUCCCAGUUCGGACUGCAGGCUGCAACUCGCCUGCACGAAGUCGGAAUUGCUAGUAAUCGUGGAUCAGCAUGCCACGGUGAAUACGUUCCCGGGCCUUGUACACACCGCCCGUCACACCAUGAGAGCCGGGGGGACCCGAAGUCGGUAGUCUAACCGCAAGGAGGACGCCGCCGAAGGUAAAACUGGUGAUUGGGGUGAAGUCGUAACAAGGUAGCCGUAGGAGAACCUGCGGCUG